rnacentral:rRNA from 1 species
CCUACGGGAGGCAGCAGUGGGGGAUAUUGCACAAUGGGGGGAACCCUGAUGCAGCGACGCCGCGUGGGUGAAGGAGUGCUUCGGCAUGUAAAGCCCUAUCGGCAGGGAAGAAGGAGGACGGUACCUGACUAAGAAGCGCCGGCUAACUACGCGCCAGCAGCCGCGGUAAUACGGAGGGGGCAAGCGUUAUCCGGUUUUACUGGGUGUAAAGGGGGGGGAGACGGCAGCGUAAGCCAGGAGUGAAAGCCCGGGGCCCAACCCCGGGACUGCACUUGGAACUGCGCGGCUGGAGUGCAGGAGGGGCAGGCGGAAUUCCUGGUGUAGCGGUGAAAUGCGUAGAUAUCGGGAGGAACACCGGUGGCGAAGGCGGCCUGCUGGACUGCGACUGACGUUGAGGCCCGAAAGCGUGGGGAGCGAAAGGGAUUAGAUACCCGAGUAGUC